rnacentral:lncRNA from 1 species
CUGACACAUUGAGAUAUAGCUAGGACAUAAUUUUAUACUUAAUAUAUUGAUUUGAUCAAUAAAAGGAUAAGCUUAUUUUUUAUUCAAGUGUGAUGUAUCCUUAAAUCAUCCAUAAAAUUAAUAUUUCGAUACAUAUUCUUAAAGUAUUGAAAAUUAAAGAUAUGUAUUUAAUUCCUAAAUGCUCCUGGACAUAGUAUCAUCAUGAGAAUGGUGAAUGAUCCAGAUAGACUGGCACAU